UCCUCGCAUCUCGCUCUUUCAGGUAUUUUUUGUGCUCCGACCCCACCCUAAGGCCCGAGGGUGGUGGCUCUUCAACCCCCGGAAGGGUCUUUCCUUCAUCACUGGUCUUCCAUCGUCCAUCCACGGGUGGAAGAACCAGUUUUUCUUCAUCUCAUCUUCUUCUCCCUGGGGCUUCCCUUCCCGCUGGGGCGUGCUCCGAACCGAAGCAAACGAGAACAGUCGGGUGG
rnacentral:lncRNA from 1 species